UAUUAUACGUAUACUGUCACAUUAAUGAACUUCAGUAAGUAUGACGUCAUAAGGUUUCCGAGUCCAGACUGGAAGGUUUUGAAACACAAAACAGAACCACAAGACAAAAUGUGAAGACUAAACUUAAAGCACAGAAGAGAUUUUUAGAUACAUUUUACUAAUAUCACAUUUUAAUCUUUUCGCAUCAUCAUACCCCAGCAAUUUAAAAAAGCUUUAGGCCCUCCACUUGCUGUCUAUGUACACCCAGUUACAAUUAUGUCCAUUAGUUGCCUUAGCAACGGAGGCAGAGGUUAAGUCAUUUUCUAGAAGAGGCCCAGUGCAAAUUAUGGCAUUAUACCAACUUAUUGCCAAUCGUUUUAAUUAAAACAUUUCGCUUUCAACUCAGCUAACAGCAGAGAUCAGUAAACAGGGCAGAUCAAAUUACUGAUAUUUAAACUCCCCUGCCUUUGGAAAGGCCCGCUAAAGCUUAAUUACUCUUGGGCAGGACUGAUGAAGCGAGAGCAAGGAACCGCAACCAUUCAGGUCUGCGAUGCUGCACCCAGGCCCAGAACCAGCUCACUGCAACAAGCUAAGGUCUACAAAGAUGCCACCCUGGAAGAUGCCCACCUAGUGAACCUGCAUGGCACAGGCACAGACAGCAAGAUGGCAUUGACCCUUCAACAAAUGCAGUUGUUAGCUUUCUCCCUGCAGAGCCUCUGAGCUGCACUCCCGCAGAUGGCAGCUGUGAAAUGAAGCAGAGCCACCAUGGCCAUCAAGAAGACCCCUAACUGCAGUCCAUCAGCACUGCCCACACUUCUGAUCUGCUUGUGCAACUGGUCCCUUCCCCGUCUCUGCUAAGGUCAGUGCACUACCUUGGAGUAUUUAGCCUACCUCUGCUGACUCAGACAAUCUCGACGUGGAGCAUGCUCACCCAAGUGGGAGUUGGAGUGGCCCAAAGAGCAGGCUGGAGGAGAUCGCAUGAAGCGGGAGGCAGUCAGCAGGACGGCAGCGGGAAACUCACCCAGAGGGAAUUUCACAGUCGGACCAUGAAGUUUGCAUAAACCUUCUUUCACUUUUUAAUUCACCAGAUACAUGCUUUAAACUUUUUCUUUCAUCAAUAGAAGAUACCACAUGAUGACAAUUCACUGACUCAGCUUAAAUAAUAGGCACUCAGAGAUAACUAUUCAACAUGCACUGGAAAAAAUUUACAACCACAAUGAGAGAAAGCCAACUGACACGCCCAGCACAGAGUAAACCACUAGAAUUCUCUGCAAGCCCUUGGAAAGGGAGCUAAGAAGUGAGUUGUGCUAACUUCCUUUUUUACCCCCUGUAUGAACAAAGAAAAUAAAAAAACUUCAGACCUUCA
rnacentral:lncRNA from 1 species